GUGUCAGCAGCCGCGGUAAGACGAAGGUGGCGAGCGUUAUUCGGAAUCACUGGGCUUAAAGGGCGCGUAGGCGGAACGGCAAGUGUCUUGUGAAAUCCCCCGGCUUAACCGGGGAAUGGCUGGGCAAACUGCCGUUCUUGAGGCAAGCAGGGGUGCGUGGAACUCUUGGUGGAGCGGUGGAAUGCGUAGAUAUCAAGAGGAACGCCGAUGGUGAAGACAGCGCACUGGGCUUGUCCUGACGCUGAGGCGCGAAAGCGUGGGGAGCAAACAGGAUUAGAUACCCUGGUAGUCCACGCCCUAAACGAUGCCUACUAGGUUGUGGAGGUUCUGACGCCUUCGCAGCCGAAGCAAAAGUGUUAAGUAGGCCGCCUGGGGAGUACGGUCGCAAGGCUAAAACUCAAAUGAAUUGACGGGG
rnacentral:rRNA from 1 species